CAUCACAGAACAGGCAGAGGCAGUUCAGGGGGGAUUCUGGUUGCAUUUUCCCAGCUCUGAAGUCUGUCAGCCUCUUCAGAUGUCACUUGCUCUGUGGUAAGGAAGUGUAGUCGGCAGCUGGUGCCGUGGCAAGCAGAGAAAGGAAGUUCCCCAAGACAAAAACAUCUCGGCAGAAACAAUAAGAGUGAUAUUACCGGAGGGAGGAGCCAAGAUGGCCGAAUAGGAACAGCUCCGGUCUACAGCUCCCAGCGCGAGCGACGCAGAAGACGGGUG
rnacentral:lncRNA from 1 species